AAUGAACGUUGGCGGCGUGGAUUAGGCAUGCAAGUCGUACGGGUCGGUGUAGCAAUACAACGGCAAGUGGCGAAAGGGAGAGUAACACGUAGAUACCUACCCUCUGGUCGGGGAUACCGCGGCAUAACCGCAAGUAAUACCCGAUAAAAUCUCAGGAUCAAAGGUGUGAUUCCGCCGGAGGAGGGGUCUGCGUUCUAUCAGCUUGUUGGUGAGGUAAUGGCUCACCAAGGCUAAGACGGAUACGGGGUGUGAGAGCAUGCCCCCGCUCACUGGGACUGAGACACUGCCCAGACACCUACGGGUGGCUGCAGUCGAGAAUCUUCGGCAAUGGGCGCAAGCCUGACCGAGCGACGCCGCGUGCGGGAUGAAGGCCUUCGGGUUGUAAACCGCUGUCGAGGGGAAUGAAGUGUAGGUGGGUACUCCCAUCUAUUUGACAGAUCCCUGGAGGAAGCAUGGGCUAAGUUCGUGCCAGCAGCCGCCGUAA
rnacentral:rRNA from 1 species